AACGAACGCUGGCGGCAUGCCUAACACAUGCAAGUCGAACGAGACCUUCGGGUCUAGUGGCGCACGUGUGCGUAACGCGUGGGAACCUGCCCUUAGGUUCGGAAUAACUCCCCGAAAGGGGUGCUAAUACCGGAUAAUGUCUUCGGACCAAAGAUUUUUCGCCUUUGGAUGUGCCCGCGUUGGAUUAGCUAGUUGGUAGGGUAAAAGCCUACCAAGGCGACGAUCCAUAGCUGGUCUGAGAGGAUGAUCAGCCACACUGGGACUGAGACACGGCCCAGACUCCUACGGGAGGCAGCAGUGGGGAAUAUUGGACAAUGGGCGAAAGCCUGAUCCAGCAAUGCCGCGUGAGUGAUGAAGGCCUUAGGGUUGUAAAGCUCUUUUACCCGGGAUGAUAAUGACAGUACCGGGAGAAUAAGCUCCGGCUAACUCCGUG
rnacentral:rRNA from 1 species